UGCCGGAUGGUCCAAAUGGCAGGACGCCGCGUUCUGGGCGCGGAAGGUGGGAGUUCGAAUCUCUCUCCGGCAG
rnacentral:tRNA from 1 species